rnacentral:rRNA from 1 species
CCUACGGGUGGCAGCAGUGAGGAAUAUUGGUCAAUGGUCGGGAGACUGAACCAGCCAAGCCGCGUGAGGGAGGAAGGUACAGAGUAUCGUAAACCUCUUUUGUCAGGGAACAAAGGCGGGGACGUGUCCCCGGAUGAGUGUACCUGAAUAAAAAGCAUCGGCUAACUCCGUGCCAGCAGCCGCGGUAAUACGGAGGAUGCGAGCUGUGUCCGGAUGUAUUGGGUGUAAAGGGUGCGCAGGCGGUCUGUUAAGUCAGCGGUAAAAGCCCGGGGCUCAACCCCGACACGCCGUUGAAACUGGCAGUCUCGAGUUGGAGAGAGGUAUGCGGAAUGCGCGGUGUAGCGGUGAAAUGCAUAGAUAUCGCGCAGAACUGCGAUUGCGAAGGCAGCAUGCCGGCUCCACACUGACGCUGAGGCACGAAAGCGUGGGUAUCGAACAGGAUUAGAUACCCUUGUAGUC